CUGUAGUGGAGGCCGGUCGUCUCUGAUCAUGUGUCAAGCAUUGCACACACACAGAGAAAUCCCUUCCAAGAUGGACGCGGCCACAACUGCUGCUUGAAGAGAAAGACCAGGCCAAAUGUGCAGCUGCGUCAGGAGGGAGUCCUGGGGGCCGCCUCGCUGUAAGUCAGCUAGGAAAGAUUCGGAAACGGCCAGCCGCCAGGAUCUGCAAAAGAGCCCUAUGUGUCUGUGUCAGAGUGUCGGGUCCAAGAGGGGAGCCAGCAGAAGGCAGCAAGAGACACAUGGACACCAUCCCCAGGAACAAACGUCCAAUGCAAGCUUCGACUUUAAAAAUCUGUUUCACUUACACCAAAUGAGAUCCGCUAGGAAGUGACAUUUUACAGGUUCCAGUCACGCGGGAAUAACAAAGACAGCCAUUAUACUGGAGAGAGCAGCUGCGCUUUGAUGUCUUAAAGGGCAGCAGACAGAGUGCCCAGGUGGAAUUAGGUUGGAUUAGGAGGCGUUCAGGCUAGAGGCUGGGAGAAAGGGCCCGGCCACAUCAGGACUGCAGACAGCGUGGCCCCAGAGAACGCGGCCCGACCCCGCUAACUCCUCCCGGGUCUGGAGGCAAAGUGGGAGCUACUUAGUUAUUCCAGGACGCACAGGCUUAGAAUGGAUGUAAGCGGAGACACCCAGCCGCGCAUAUCUCCUCCUCUGGAAAAAGCUUAAAAUUUUUUUUAAAAAGGUGGCUUCCAGUGGCUGAAGGGGGACCUAGAGGAGAGCUCACAUGGAUGGCAUCUGUCUUGUGUGUGUCCCAGGGGCUAAAGAUGAACUCUCCCCUCCUCCUCCUCCUCCCCCGACUGUGCCCAUUUAAGUAGCUGCUUGAAAUUCAAGUUUCAAAGAAAACGCAGAGCAAGACCGGCCUCCAGCUCAUAGCCCCAGAGUGUGUAAGGCUGGCGCGUCCCAACCGAUGACGAGGACGUCUGCUGCCAAGCCUUUGCUUAUAACUUGGCAGUAGUCAGAUGUGUGUAAGUUGCGUCUGCCAAUUCCUGCUCUGCCACAGGCUGUCGUCAGAAAGUUGGGGUGACCCCACUUCCUCAGAAGGCUCCCAGGUCCUGGCUGGACGGUGGUGUUGGGACGUGGUCUUCUGGCUUGUGCAGUCCUUCCUGGAGUGGAGACGGUGGCGCUUUAGAGGGAAGUGCUUGCCCAUCCCAGGAUGCACCGUGCAGUGACGGCCUCUCCACCCCAUCAGUCCAGUUUUGGCAUGUGACUUGCUCUUACCAACAUCGAUGAACAAACAGCUACAGGCAGAGGCAUGGAAACAGCAGCUGAGAGGUCGGCCUUUUCCCCACUCUUGAACCUCUGAGGCCACCACAUGAUGGGUCCUGGGCUGACCCAUGGGAAAACAAGACACAACAGGGCGUAGGGACACCUGGCCGGCCUCACAUCUCAUACAGGAGUACCAGCCACGCUAGGGCAUCCUGACCAGUCCUGCUCUCAGCUGACCACUAGACCCACCAAGCCAGCCUGGACCCCAAGAACAACUCCAGGAGCCUGCAGAAUCAUGAGAAAUGCAUCUUUCUUUUAAACCACUUAAUUUUUAAAGUAGUCUGUGACACAGCAAAGGCUAACCAAAAUAUAUUUUUUAAAAAUUGUAAUUGUAGAAAAAUUUAAUAAGAAACAUAAGUCACUCAUAAUUCCAUCAACCCAAAAUAACCAGUGGAGAUGUUUUGGUGUAUAUUUUUGUGCAUUUUUAUAUUUAGUUAGUGACAUAGCUGGAGAUUGGAGAGAGAGGGAGAGAGAGAGAGAGAGAGAGAGAGAGAAAGAAUGAUAAAUGGAAUCAAAAUGCAAACCCAUCCAGAAUUCAUAAAUUCUUUUCUUUAAAGCUUGUUUUCCCCUCAUCUAACUAGCAAUAUUUCAUGUCGUUUGCUAUUUCUGGAAAAUACAAUUUUCCUUGACUUUGCAGUGUC